rnacentral:rRNA from 1 species
UACGUAGGGGGCAAGCGUUGUCCGGAAUCAUUGGGCGUAAAGCGCGUGUAGGCGGCUCGAUAAGUCUGCUGUGAAAGUCCAAGGCUCAACCUUGGGAUGCCGGUGGAUACUGUCGAGCUCGAGUCCGGAAGAGGAGUGUGGAAUUCCUGGUGUAGCGGUGAAAUGCGCAGAUAUCAGGAGGAACACCAAUGGCGAAGGCAGCACUCUGGGACGUGACUGACGCUGAGACGCGAAAAGCGUGGGGGAGCAAACAGG